GGAGAGGUGCCUGAGUGGCCUAAAGGAGCAGUUUGCUAAACUGUCGUAUUCGGAAACGGGUACCGGGGGUUCGAAUCCCCCCCUCUCCG
rnacentral:tRNA from 1 species